rfam:Puccinia graminis f. sp. tritici CRL 75-36-700-3 supercont2.124 genomic scaffold, whole genome shotgun sequence.
CCUGUCAUCGUCUAGUGGUUAGGACACCAGGUUUUGAAGCACCCUUCUGGGCCUGAAUCAUCCGUGUCCUGGUAACUUGGGUUCGACUCCCAAUGACAGGU